rnacentral:rRNA from 1 species
AAGUUUGAUCCUGGCUUAGGAUGAACGCUGGUAGUAUGCUUAACACAUGCGAGUCGAAUGAUGGUAACAUCAUGGCGAACGGGUGAGUACAAAAUAAGAAUCUGCCUUUUAGUUGGGUUAAAUACCUGAUGUACAGAAAGAUCCACGAUCGCUAAGAGAAGAGCUUAUUUAAGAUUAGGUUGUUGGUAGGGUAAAGGCCUACCAAGCCGACUAUCUUUAGCUGGUCUGAAAGGACGGUCAGCCACACUGGGACUGAGACAAGGCCCAGGCUUCAAACCGAAGCCAGCAGUGAGGAAUUUUGGACAAUGAGCGAAAGCUUGAUCCAGCAAUACUACGUGGGGGAAGAAGGCUCAAUUGGUCGUAAACCCCUUUCAUUAGGGAGGAUAAAGACAGUACCUAAAGAAGAAGCUCCGGCCAACUUCGUGCCAGCAGCCGCGGUAAUACGAAGGGAGCGAGCGUUAUCCGGAUUGAUUGGGCGUAAAGGGUCCGUAGGCGGCCU